rnacentral:rRNA from 1 species
GCUUACGCCCAUACCACCCUGAGAACGCCCGAUCUCGUCUGAUCUCGGAAGCUAAGCAGGGUUGGGCCUGGUUAGUACUUGGAUGGGAGACCGCCUGGGAAUACCAGGUGCUGUAAGCU